rnacentral:rRNA from 1 species
GACGCUGGCGGUAGGCUUAACACAUGCAAGUCGUGCGAGAAAGUAUCUUCGGAUAUGAGUAGAGCGGCGGACGGGUGAGUAACGCGUAGGAAUCUACCUAGUAGAAGGGGAUAGCCCGGGGAAACUCGGAUUAAUACCGUAUAUAUCCUAAGGGAGAAAGAGGGCCUCUCUUGAAGCUCUCGCUAUUAGAUGAGCCUGCGUAAGAUUAGCUUGUUGGUAAGGUAAUGGCUUACCAAGGCUACGAUCUUUAGCUGGUCUGAGAGGACGAUCAGCCACAUUGGGACUGAGACACGGCCCAGACUCCUACGGGAGGCAGCAGUGGGGAAUAUUGGACAAUGGGCGCAAGCCUGAUCCAGCCAUACCGCGUGUGUGAAGAAGGCUCUAGGGUUGUAAAGCACUUUAAGCAGGGAGAAAAAGUUAUAAAUUAAUACUUUAUAACCGUGAUGUUACCUGCAGAAUAAGCACCGGCUAAUUCCGUGCCAGCAGCCGCGGUAAUACGGAAGGUGCAAGCGUUAAUCGGAAUUACUGGGCGUAAAGCGCGCGUAGGUGGUUUGUUAAGUUGGAUGUGAAAGCCCUGGGCUUAACCUAGGAACUGCAUCCAAAACUAACUCACUAGAGUACGAUAGAGGGAGGUAGAAUUCAUAGUGUAGCGGUGGAAUGCGUAGAUAUUAUGAAGAAUACCAGUGGCGAAGGCGGCCUCCUGGAUCUGUACUGACACUAAGGUGCGAAAGCGUGGGUAGCGAACAGGAUUAGAUACCCUGGUAGUCCACGCCGUAAACGAUGACAACUAGCUGUUGGAAAACAAUGUUUUUCAGUGGCGCAGCUAACGUUUUAAGUUGUCCGCCUGGGGAGUACG